GAUGAAGAACGCAGCGAAAUGCGAUACGUAGUGUGAAUUGCAGAAUUCAGUGAAUCAUCGAAUCUUUGAACGCACAUUGCACCUCUCGGUAUUCCGGGAGGUAUGCCUGUUCGAGCGUCAUUUGUACCCUCAAGCUCUGCUUGGUGUUGGGUGUUUGUUCCGCCUCUGUGUGUGAACUCGCCUCAAAACAAUUGGCAGCCGGCGUACUUGUUUCGGAGCGCAGCACAUUUUGCGAUCCAGAUCAACGUACAGCGGCAUCCAAGAAGCCUUAUUUAACGCUCUUGACCUCGGAUCAGGUAGGGAUACCCGCUGAACUUCAGCAUAUCAAUAAGCGGAGGA
rnacentral:misc_RNA from 1 species